rnacentral:rRNA from 1 species
CGCGUAGGCGGCUUUGUAAGUCAGAGGUGAAAUCCCGGGGCUCAACCCCGGAACUGCCUUUGAAACUACAUCGCUAGAGUCUUGGAGAGGUGAGUGGAAUUCCGAGUGUAGAGGUGGAAUUCGUAGAUAUUCGGAAGAACACCAGUGGCGAAGGCGACUCACUGGACAAGUACUGACGCUGAGGUGCGAAAGCGUGGGGAGCAAACA